rnacentral:ncRNA from 2 species
AUGAACAAAACCGGAGAGAUGCUGGGUCUUCUCAGGGUCGCCGAAGGAGCAACUGCCCGGCUGCUGACGGUCGGGAGGAAUCUCUCAGGCAGGAAAGGACGGUUUUCGGACG